AAUAUUUUUUUUUUUUUUUCAGAAAAAUUAAAUUUUUUAAACAAAAUCGAGCACAAAGUUAUUAGGGUUAAUAGUUGAAAAAUUAUUGAGCAUGUGACUUCUCAAGAUUACGAUAAUGACGUGAAUUCACAAUGACAGCGCAUGCUUGAUAUCGACUUGUAGCAGCAACAGUUUCGUAAAACGCAGUCAUAGCCGCAGUAGCGACAGCAAUAGAGAAUCACGAAAUAGAGAGGGAAACAGAAACACUGUGAUAGUGGUCCGUUUGGACAACGCAUUGAAUUCGAGACGCCGCUUGUUGCAUUCGUGAUAUUGUAAACAAUUGGAGAUGUUCAAGAGAGUGGCACUCUGCACGCCACCCUUCCGUUCUGCGGCAUGAAUUCCGUGGUGGAGGAAUUUUGGAACGCUUCCAGGAGACUUUAUCUUCGCGAUAUUUUUUUUAAUAUCCC